rnacentral:lncRNA from 1 species
GUAAACUUUCAAAACCUAGACUUGCCACUUAUGAGCUAGCAAGAGUUUGAGUUGUACAACCUCUCUGAGCAUCAGUUUUUGUGCCUGUGAAAUGGAAUAAUACCUACCUUAUGAAUCUAGUCGCAUGCUGGAUACAGAGAGAGCCUUUAAUACUAGGAUGCUGAAAAACACACAAACUGUAUAGUUCCAAUAUGCCAUCCAAGUACCCUACCACCAAAGUGCUGAAAACUUGAUUUGUAUGAGGAUCUUGCUAUAGUUUUGUUCAAGUAUUUGUAUAAGUAUAUUCUCUGGAUUUAAGGAAACAUACACAAAUGACAAACAUAUCAUCAGCUUUUUUCAGUUGCAGCAGAAGCCACUGUAUGAGCCACUGACAGAGGGCAUCACAAGAAUGAAGUGAGUCCACUUGCAGAGCUCAUGGGACCUGGAGGGGAGGCAGCUCCAGUGCCCCAUUGCUAUGAGAGAAUUGAGCAUCAUGAAAUGGAUCACACUGAUAGCAGGACAGAGCUGUUUCUUGCUGGCUGUUUCUGUACUCCUCAAUCCCCUAUCUCAACUGCCAAGAAGCAUACACCUCUGAGACCACAACUAGAAGGGAGGCAAGAUGUUUUCAGAGAAGCUGUUUUAGCCUGUGUGGUAACCAUUUUAGACACUUCAUUUCACAGUAGGAAACAAGACUGGAAGAAAGGUGGGGGACACGUGUGGAAGGAAACGAGGAAUGGACUGAAAACAGAAGACUAUCACACUUCUUGUCAUCGUGGCUUCCCAGCAACCUACCAUGUUCUCACUCCAGCAAUGGCAGCUGAGGGAAGAUGCAUUCCGGGAGCAAGACUGCUCUGCCCAACCACUCCUCGGUCUCACCUUUCUAAUCUGUCAGAUCCAAACAAUAUCAUGUGCCUCAUAAAGACCCCACCCCACCUUCCUUUUUUACAAAAUCAAAUACUGACUCCUCGUUGUUUCUAA